rnacentral:lncRNA from 1 species
AACAUACGAAAGCAAUAACAUUAUCAUCAUCAUGAAAUCAUAUGAACUGUAUAACAGAAUACUUACCACGCCUUUGCAUAUCAAUCAUUAAACAAUAUAUUUUCCUCAUUUAUCAGCCUACUAGUAUCCAUGGGGAUCCAUAGGGGUCCCGCUACCCGUGAACCCUUAACAUUUAUAACCUGAUUCCAGGGCCGUCCCCAUACCCCG